rnacentral:lncRNA from 1 species
UAAACAAAUCUGCAUCUUUUUUUUUUCCAAUUUUUUUUUAAAUUUUUUUUUUAGAUUUUUUAAAAUAACACAAUUGCUUUAUUUAAUGACUUUACCAUCUGGGCAGCCUAAACCAGUAGCUUGCUUCUGAUUUAAUUAGUUCUAAGAGCAUCCAUCUUUUUAAGUACUCUCAAAACGGGAUACGAUCAACUCAACAGUAAUAACCCAUCUCCAUGAAAACCAGUUUGAAUCCUUGUCUCUAGGCCAAAGGACCACACAUCACAGAGCAGGUAGGCAGCAAGGGCCUGUGGGUUCUAACAUGAUGGGCGUAGUAGGAAUGAGGCCUGCAAACAGUGUGUUUAUGUGGAAUUUGUUCUUCUCCAAAAGUCAGACUUCACAAUGCUUGUUGCUGUCUUGGCAAAAAACUGGCCAGAUGUGCAUCUUAGCGGUACUGCAGAUGAACCCCAGGGUCUUAGGUUUAGGCCAGUACAAUACAAUACAGAGCUUAUAUUGGAUCCCAGCCCUGUAUCUGUUUAUUUUUACCACUUCUAACAUUCCAGCAGCUAACAAAUCUGCAUCUUUAACACAAAACAUUUUAUUGACUUCCAUUCUGAUGUUAACACAUCCUUAUAGUAUUUAGGCUGACUUAAUUUAACAGUUUUUUUUCCCCUAUAAUUCAUUUUCUCUUAGCUGCUGCUAUUCCUUUCUCAUUAAAGUUCAGAAAAUGUAAGGUUAAUGGAGCACUAUUUAGUAUAUCCUAGGGGUGUCUUUAUUCUUUUUAUUUUAUAAGCAUUACCUUUAAGGUGCAAUUAGGUCUUUCUACAGCUGUUUGUCCUAGGAUUGUGUAGUAUACUUGUCAUGUGCUUUACAUUAUCUGCAAAGAAUUGUUCCAUCUUACUUGAGACAGAUGCGGGAACAUUGUCAGUCUUAAUUUGUACAGGUAUCUCUGUAAUAACCAUUACUUCCAGUAAGUGUGUCAUUACAGAAUCAACUUUUUUAGAACUAAAAGAAGUUGCCCAUUGAAUCCCUGAGUAUGUAUCAGUGGUAAGGUGUAUAAAUUUGAGUUUUCCAAAUUCUACACAGUGAGACAUAUUCGUUGACUUUAGGAUUACUUUCAGAAGAUAAUGAAGUUUGUUUAUACAAAGAACAAGUAGGACUUUUUUUUAUAAUUUCCUUAGCUUGUUGCCAGGUGAAAGAAAAAUUUUUUCUUUAAAUCUAUAUUGUUAACAUGGUGGGUUUUGUUUUGUUUUAAUCAAAUUUUGAGGCUUCUAACAUACUUUUGGUCAGUUUCUUUUACAGCUGUCCAAUCUGUUAACAUUUUCCAUUUCGCCAAUUUCUUUUUUAUAACAAAUGCAGGGGAAUUCCAUGAUACAUAGAAAUGACAAUACCAAAAUCCUGCCAGCACUUAGCUCUCUGCCAGGUACAGCAAUCAUCAGGGACACACCUUCAUACAAUAUAAGGAAAGGUCACGGCAACACAAGAUUUUUGUGAAAUGAUAGGUCCAUCAGCUCCUGUAUCCACUAAAUCUUCUAUUUCAAUGUCAUUCACUUGUAACUUUUUUUUGGCUUCUGAUCAUUGACAACUGUUUGCCAAAAUACAUGUUUUCCUAUAUUUCCAAACCCUCCUGGCUAAAGGAGCUGGUGAUUAAACUUGAUAAUCUGAGUUUAACCCUAGGAUCCACAUGGUGGGAGGAGAGAGCUGACUCCCACAUGUACAGUGUCAUGCUUGGCCUCACCACCACCACCUGCACAAAUAAGUCUUUUUUUAAGAAAGGGUUGGAGAAAAAAUUUAUUUAGAAGAGAAUGUCGGUUGAUCUUUUUCCCAAAAUUGAAAGGUCUUACCCAUAUUAAAAUUUUGUAUGUUGGGGGGGUGGGAGGUUGUUGUCAGGCGUUUGUGCUUGCCAGAUUUCGGGACCAUGGGUGGAUAUCAAAUGUCAUUUGAGAUAGGCUCUCUCACUAAACAUGGAAUUUAGUAUUGGAGCUUGGCUGGCUGACUGACCUGUAAGCCUCCCAACUCUGCCUGUCCACAUUUUCCAAUGCUGGAGGUAUAGAGGCAUACUCCUGCUCAGGUUUUAUAUGGAUGCUGAAGACUCGGGUCUUCGUGCAUGCACAGCAGCCCUCUGUCCAUUGAGCUAUUUGUCUAGUCUUAAAAUGUUUUUAUUUCUGUCACCAGUAGUAGUGCACACCUUUAAUGGUAGUGUACACCUUUAAUCCCAAUACUUAGGACGCAGAGGCAAGCAGAUCUCUGAGUUUGAGGCCAGCCUGGUAUACAAAGUGAGUAAUAGGAUAGCCAGGACUGUAAAACAGAAAUCCUGUC